rnacentral:tRNA from 1 species
GGCGGUGUAGCUCAGCUGGUUAGAGCGCACGACUCAUAAUCGUGAGGUCGAGCCCGAACUGCGACCCGUCGCCG